CCCAGCGGGCCACGUGCCCGCGCCCCGCGCCCCCCUCCGCCCGCGUGCGAGGGCCCCUCCCGGGCUGGGCGUUCCAGAGCCUCCGGCUUCGCCGAUCUGCGCAGCCCAGCUAGCGGGGCCACACGUCGGCUCUGGGCGGCGCCACUUUUGGGGCGCCCGCUUUCCCACUGGGGCGCCCACGGCCUAGCGGGGCUCGAGAGGCGCCCGCCCCCCACCCCGGCCGGCCCCGCCACCUCGGCCCUCUCCUUCGGUUUUCAGAAGCAGGGCAGGAGGCUGGCUCUCCUUGAUCACAUUUAGGGAUCCACCAAGGAAUGGACAGAGGACAGGAGCCACAUGCUUCUUGUAACAGCAAGGACAGAAUGAGGCUCUUGCUAAUUCCAGCUAAGUCAGGAUUGGCUGGUCCUUGUUGACUCAUGAGAGGCUGAUCUGUCUCCCCAAGAAGUUUUGCUACUCAGUCAUUUGGCCUGGAUAUUUCCUUGUUGUGGGGAGCUGACCUGUGCAUUGCAGAAUGUGCACCAACAUUCCCAGCCUCUACCUACCAGAUUAUGGUAGCAUUCCCCUCCCACAGCUGAGAGAAACAAAAAUGUCUCUGGAUAUUGCCGAGAUGUCCUGGGGGUCAGGGCAAAACUGUACUGUUGAGAACCACUGAACUGACAACAGCCAAUAGCCAAUAACAAACAUGCUUUGUAAAUUGUGUU